AUUGAACGCUGGCGGAAUGCUUUACACAUGCAAGUCGAACGGCAGCACGGGGGCAACCCUGGUGGCGAGUGGCGAACGGGUGAGUAAUACAUCGGAACGUGCCCAGUCGUGGGGGAUAACGUAGCGAAAGUUACGCUAAUACCGCAUACGAUCUACGGAUGAAAGCGGGGGACCGUAAGGCCUCGCGCGAUUGGAGCGGCCGAUGUCAGAUUAGGUAGUUGGUGAGGUAAAGGCUCACCAAGCCGACGAUCUGUAGCUGGUCUGAGAGGACGACCAGCCACACUGGGACUGAGACACGGCCCAGACUCCUACGGGAGGCAGCAGUGGGGAAUUUUGGACAAUGGGCGCAAGCCUGAUCCAGCCAUUCCGCGUGCAGGACGAAGGCCUUCGGGUUGUAAACUGCUUUUGUACGGAACGAAAAGGCUCUGGUUAAUACCAGGGGCUCAUGACGGUACCGUAAGAAUAAGCACCGGCUAACUACGUGCCAGCCGCCGCCUAA
rnacentral:rRNA from 1 species